CCCUUAGAUGUUCUGGGCCGCACGCGCGCUACACUGGCGAUGGCAACGAGUUUUUCCUUCGCCGAAAGGUGUGGGUAAUCUUUUGAAACAUCGUCGUGCUGGGGAUAGAUCAUUGCAAUUUUCGAUCUUGAACGAGGAAUUCCUAGUAAGCGCGAGUCAUCAGCUCGCGUUGAUUACGUCCCUGCCCUUUGUACACACCGCCCGUCGCUACUACCGAUUGAAUGGUUUAGUGAGGACUCCUGAUUGGCGCCGCCGCCCCGGCAACGGAGCAGCGGACUGCCGAAAAGUUGUUCAAACUUGAUCAUUUAGAGGAAGUAAAAGUCGUAACA
rnacentral:rRNA from 1 species